AUGAAACGCAGCGUAUCAAGUGCAUAUGCUCCGUUUAUGGGCUUAAUGACGUUCAUUUGCUAAGGCCCUGGAAGAGAGAAUUGUUGGUGACCUAAUGUCUUCUCCGUAAGUACGGCGGCGAUAAUGUUCGUUGUCGGUUUCUCUGUAACGCUUCGCGACUUAACUCACAUUAAGAGACUUUCAAUGCGUCGUUCUGUCUGCGAGAUCUGUAAUCUCCGUAUAUAUAUAGGAUAGAGUGAUAUACAAAAAAAGGAAAAUGGAAAGCGUAGCCAUAUCAGAGCAUUUGAUCAAACUCCUCCGUCCUCCCUGUUGCACAACCUUACGCAUUUGAUAUGGUGGGUUAUGUCAUCUACGACAUUGGAUGGGAAGCCAUACCAGAGAAGAGUCUUCUACAACGGAACCAUUGAGGUACUCUGGAGGUCUUCUCACUGGUGAGUCUGUCUUUCUUUUAACACUUGGGAUUCCUCUCCUCCUCCUUCUUGGUCUAUGGGCAUACAGCUAAGUACAACGUAUCACCAAGGUUUUCCCAUCCUGUUUUGAGAAUUUUCAAAUUGUGUGUGUUUACAGUCCUAUGUUGUGGAAUUUUAUCUGACAAUCUCCCUCUGUUACCAGAAAACCAAAAAGGUAUCAAAGGUGGAAGUAGGAACAAAGUUCUACGUACGCAUCACUUGACGAGUGGCUCGAGGGACAUUUGGCAAAUAUAUUGCAAGAAAAUAGAAGAUCAAGAAGAAGUGAGAAAAAAAGAGAGCCUUUUAAGCUCCUUCACAGUUCUUAUAGACUUUAAGCUUUUUGGCAUUUUGAAAGAGUUUUGGAUUUCAGUCUAGAUGUUACUCUCUCUUUUUCUUAUGAAGAUUCUCCUUCAGUCACAGUAAUAAUGCUCAGAGUAAAUAAGUGGCUGCUUCAGCCCAAUUUCUCCGUAUUAUGUUUUAUUCUCUGUUUUGUCCUCUGUUUCUUUUUUGCCUUUGUUAUAUGUGUGUGUGUUCUUGAAAGAUCUAUGCAGAAUCAAAAACUAUCUUUUCUAAUCUUCAAGCUAAUAAAAAAGAUUAGUUACUUAUUUAA